GAUGAACGCUGGCGGCGUGCCUAAUACAUGCAAGUCGAGCGAACAGACGAGGAGCUUGCCCCUCUGACGUUAGCGGCGGACGGGUGAGUAACACGUGGAUAACCUACCUAUAAGACUGGGAUAACUUCGGGAAACCGGAGCUAAUACCGGAUAAUAUAUUGAACCGCAUGGUUCAAUAGUGAAAGACGGUUUUGCUGUCACUUAUAGAUGGAUCCGCGCCGCAUUAGCUAGUUGGUAAGGUAACGGCUUACCAAGGCAACGAUGCGUAGCCGACCUGAGAGUGUGAUCGGCCACACUGGAACUGAGACACGGUCCAGACUCCUACGGGAGGCAGCAGUAGGGAAUCUUCCGCAAUGGGCGAAAGCCUGACGGAGCAACGCCGCGUGAGUGAUGAAGGUCUUCGGAUCGUAAAACUCUGUUAUUAGGGAAGAACAAAUGUGUAAGUAACUAUGCACGUCUUGACGGUACCUAAUCAGAAAGCCACGGCUAACUACGUG
rnacentral:rRNA from 1 species